CCCGCACAAGCAGUGGAGUAUGUGGUUUAAUUCGAAGCAACGCGAAGAACCUUUACCAGGGCUUGACAUCCCUUGAAGCAGCUAGAGAUAGCUGUGUCCUUCGGGACAAGGAGACAGGUGGUGCAUGGUUGUCGUCAGCUCGUGUCGUGAGAUGUUGGGUUAAGUCCCGCAACGAGCGCAACCCCUACGUUUAGUUGCUAACGCGUGAAGGCGAGCACUCUAGACGAACUGCCGUUGACAAAACGGAGGAAGUGGGGAUGACGUCAAAUCAUCAUGCCCCUUAUGUUCUGGGCUACACACGUGCUACAAUGGCCGGUACAGACGGACGCAAAGCCGCGAGGUGGAGCAAAUCCUAAAAAGCCGGUCUCAGUUCGGAUUGCAGGCUGCAAUUCGCCUGCAUGAAGUCGGAAUCGCUAGUAAUCGCAGGUCAGCAUACUGCGGUGAAUACGUUCCCGGGCCUU
rnacentral:rRNA from 1 species